UACGUAGGGCGCAAGCGUUGUCCGGAAUUACUGGGCGUAAAGCGUGCGCAGGCGGCUUUGCAAGUCAGAUGUGAAAUCCCCGGGCUUAACCUGGGAACUGCAUUUGUGACUGCAUGGCUGGAGUGCGGCAGAGGGGGAUGGAAUUCCGCGUGUAGCAGUGAAAUGCGUAGAUAUGCGGAGGAACACCGAUGGCGAAGGCAAUCCCCUGGGCCUGCACUGACGCUCAUGCACGAAAGCGUGGGGAGCAAACAGG
rnacentral:rRNA from 1 species